GUAGGUGGCAAGCGUUGUCCGGAAUUAUUGGGCGUAAAGCGCGCGCAGGCGGUUCUUUAAGUCUGAUGUGAGAGCCCACGGCUCAACCGUGGAGGGUCAUUGGAAACUGGAGAACUUGAGUACAGAAGAGGAAAGCGGAAUUCCACGUGUAGCGGUGAAAUGCGUAGAGAUGUGGAGGAACACCAGUGGCGAAGGCGGCUUUCUGGUCUGUAACUGACGCUGAGGCGCGAAAGCGUGGGGGAGCAAACAGGAUUAGAUACCCUGGUAGUCCACGCCGUAAACGAUGAGUGCUAAGUGUUAGGGGGUUUUCCGCCCCGUUAGUGCUGCAGCUAACGCAUUAAGCACUCCGCCUGGGAGUACGGCCGCAAGGCUG
rnacentral:rRNA from 1 species